ACGCUCGACACCUACGGGGGGCAGCAGUGGGGAAUAUUGCACAAUGGGGGAAACCCUGAUGCAGCGACGCCGCGUGGAGGAAGAAGGUCUUCGGAUUGUAAACUCCUGUUGUUGGGGAAAAAGAGGAUGGUACCCAACAAGGAAGUGACGGCUAACUACGUGCCAACAGCCGCGGUAAUCUGAGCGGGCUGGCAAGGC
rnacentral:rRNA from 1 species